UCCAACACCAGAGACAGAAUGAAUAUUUGGUGACAGAAGUUAGCCUUUGUGUGGCUUUUGUUUUGCUCAGGGCUCUCUUGUGACUCUUUACUGACCUAGAGUGAGGUCAAUGUUGCCGCUCUAGUGUAAUAAAUUUUCCUGCACUGGCUACCACUCCAUUAAACCAGGAGUGAUUUGUCCUCAGAGUCCAUGAAGGGACUGUGGAGAUGAAGAAUAUGCUAUGGUUGUUUUCCAGCCCACCGUGUGGUUUAACUUCUCCAAUCCAACACACUCAAGCUGAACUAUGGAACUUGAAGAAUGGAGCUCCCCACAUAGUACCAGGGACAAGCCCCUGCCUUUCUGUUGGUUUUGCACCAGAAUCUCCAUACUGCUUGUAACACUAUGAAAUGAUUCAGAAUAAUGUCA